AGGGAUUGAUUUUGGGAGUUUUGGUCCCAACAUUUUAGGAAUUAAGGGCCAAAAAGGGCCCAAAUAAGCAUUUUCUUGGUUUUCGCACUAUAACUUUAGUUUAAGUGAAUAGAAAUCUAUGAAAUUUUGACACAAGGUUUAUGACCACAAAAGGGAAGUUUGGAUUGAUUUUGGGAGUUUUGGUUCCAACAGUUUAGGAAUUAAGGGCCAAAUAUAAGCAUUAUUCUUGGUUUUCGCACAAUAACUUUAGUAUAAGUAAAUAGAAAUCAAUGAAAUUUUAACACAAGGUUUAUGACCACAAAAGGAAGGUUGGGAUUGAUUUUUGGAGUUGAGGUCACAACAGUUUAUGAAUUGGGGGCCAAAAAGGGGCCCAAAUAAGCAUUAUUUUUGGUUUUUGCACCAUAACUUUAGUAUAAGUAAAUAGAAAUCUAUGAAAUUUAAACACAAGGUUUAUGACCAUAAAAGGAAGGUUGGGCUUGAUUUUGGGAGUUUUGG
rnacentral:lncRNA from 1 species